rnacentral:tRNA from 1 species
GCCUUUGUGGUGCAGUGGUCAACACACUCUGUUCGUAUUUGAGAUUUGAGAGGUCCGGGGUUCGAGUCCCGGUGAGGGCA